UAAUUUGUUUGAGGCAGAUCCUCAUUUAAUUAUAGCAGACCCACACUUGACUGCUCAGAAUCAUUUAUUAUCGCAAGUCCGACUAUUUCUCUAGCAUUGAAAAACAAAGGACAAUUACUAUGUGGACAAUAACUCGAGAUCAUAAA
rnacentral:pre_miRNA from 13 species